rnacentral:rRNA from 1 species
CCUACGGGGCGCAGCAGUGGGGAAUAUUGCACAAUGGGCGAAAGCCUGACGCAGCGACGCCGCGUGAGGGAUGAAGGUCUUCGGAUCGUAAACCUCUGUCAGCAGGGAAGAACGGUCACUGUGCUAAUCAGCAGUGAAUUGACGGUACCUGCAAAGGAAGUACCGGCUAACUCCGUGCCAGCAGCCGCGGUAAUACGGAGGGGGCGAGCGUUGAUCGGAAUUACUGGGCGUAAAGCGCUCGUAGGCGGUAUGUCAAGUCAAGGGUGAAAGCCCCGCGCUCAACGUGGGAACUGCCUUUGAAACUGGUAAACUGGAGUGUGUGAGAGGAUAGUGGAAUUCCAGGUGUAGGAGUGAAAUCCGUAGAUAUCUGGAGGAACACCAGUGGCGAAGGCGACUAUCUGGCACAUAACUGACGCUGAGGAGCGAAAGCGUGGGUAGCGAACAGGAUUAGAUACCCUAGUAGUC